CGCGUAGGCGGCCAUGCGUGCCUCCCGUGAAAUCCCUCGGCUUAACUGAGGACGUGCGGGAGAAACUGCAAGGCUCGAGUCCGGGAGAGGGGGGUGGAAUUCCCAGUGUAGCGGUGAAAUGCGUAGAUAUUGGGAGGAACACCGGUGGCGAAGGCGGCCCCCUGGACCGGUACUGACGCUGAGGCGCGAAAGCGUGGGUAGCAAACG
rnacentral:rRNA from 1 species